GACCGCGUAGCUCAGUUGGCAGAGCAUUGGGCUAGUAUGCCAAAGGUCAUAGGUUCGAUUCCCACCGUGGUCA
rnacentral:tRNA from 1 species